UUUUAUCAACACGGUACACGAAGAGACAAAGAAACCGAGAGAGGGAGAGAGAUAAAAGACAGAGAAGAAUUGUUUUGAGCUUGGUUUGUAUCUUUCUCCUUUCACUCUGUGCGUCUCUCCCUACGUUAUCUAGAGAGAAACACAAGGAGACAGAGAUGGACGCAAAAUCUCAAAAUCUGGAAUCAACCCAUUUGAGAAAACACCAAAACAACCUGACCUUGAAGUUC
rnacentral:misc_RNA from 1 species